rnacentral:misc_RNA from 1 species
CCCUGUGUUAUUAUUAUUAUUUUUUCAACCUAGGUUGUUAUUUAAUUAAAAAAUUUGAGUGAUGUGAUUACCACGUCACUAAGUGACAGAUUAUUUUGACAUGGAAUCAUUAUUUUUAUCGAGGCAUCUUUAUUUGGAAAUUAAAUGCUCUUUAGUGAUAAGAAAAUGUAUAGUUUACUAACAUGAUGACCUGGCAGCAGACAUUACUUUCAAGCCCUGUUAAAGUACUGAGGAAGACUGUAUGGAUACAUGUGUGAUACAGAAUGUAUAGAGAAUUUAAAAGACUGUCAUUGCAGUCACGCGAAAACUCGCAAUCUACGGGUUCACAGUCAGGGUUACAGGAUAGACUUGAGGAUAGAAAUGAAAGGCCAAAACCUCAGUUGGCGCAUCGAUCGAGCCAGGGACCGAAGGAUCUGAUGAUCAGCUACAGCCACGCAGACAGAGAGAUGAUGAUGAGGAUCAAAGACAAACUAGAAAGUAGUGGUAUUUCUGUUUGGGUUGAUAUAUCGUCCCUUAGAGCCGGGGCUGACUUCCUCAGCAAGAUUGGACAAGCAAUUAUAGAUGCAAAGAACGUGAUUUGUCUGUUGAGUAAAACAUCGGUGAUAUCCAAGUUCUGCCGGGAUGAACUUGCUCUGGGAUACAUCUCCAACUGUGCCAUAUUUCCCGUAUCUCUAGACACUGAAGAAACCCUCUAUCCACUCAUGGACACUGGGAUGAAGCUGCAACUGGCCAGCUAUUCUUGGCUCAUGGUGAACGAUCCAAACAAGAUGGAUGCAGUUUUAGACGAGCUGGUCGUCCUGUUAAAAGAGCAGCUCAAAAGAAAUGAAGAAGAGAUGGAUGGAAACGUAGAACCAUCUGUUAAAAUUGUGCCAAAAUUACAAAGAUUGACUUCAAGACAGAAUCUAAACAAACACCGUAUGAAGCAAGCUGAAGAUGAUAAAACUCUGUCAAUUAUGCCAGAAAAAUACUGGAAUGACCAUUACACUUCGGACACCACCCAGUGGAAGAAAUUUGUGAAUGACUUCAUGUACCUUUACAAGUCCCACUUGGAGACAACAUACACAGCUGCUGACCAAAUCUGGCUCAUGAGUAUCCUGCGCAGAGAGAUGGAAGUUAAUGAUGAUGAUCCAAUUCUCAAAAAGGAAAACUUCCUAGCAUUCUGCCGGCUCGAUGGUGAAGAGUUUCCGCUGUGGACUCGAGUGCAGGAUCAGGCCCUGGAAAGUCUCUCCAUGAAGGGCGUGUUUGAUAUGAAUUCAUCAGUUAGAGUGGAGGCCAUUGAGAAUCUGGGUAAAUACCGAAGUCCUGCAGUUGUCCGGGCUCUCCAUGACCUGCUGACUGACCCUGACGCCAAUGUGCGAGCCGUGGCCGCUGUCUCACUAGCGCGGACCAAUGCCAGUGACAAACACACCAUCAGCUGCAUCAUGAACAUCCUCAACGACAACGACAGACUGGUGCGGGAAGCCGGGUGUCUGGCUCUUGGUCACUUACAGGCCAAACCAGCUGUCAAGAAAUUACUUCAUAUGUGGAGAAAUGAUGUCAUCUCCCAUGUGCGAGACGCAGCGUUUGUUGCCCUGCAGCAGAUAGGUGGCGCUGAGGUGGAGAGAGAGAUGCAUGUCACUAAAGUGUUGGCUGAUGAGAUCAGACAGCUCACAAAAUAAUUUUACCAUCAUGUUUUUUAUGUUAUUAGUGUUUUCCCUAGCUUGUUUUAGCAUGGGACGGCACCAUGCCACAAUAGUUUAACGUCAUAUUGCCUUAACAGUGCCAUGCUGCCUUAAGAUUAAACAAGUCUUUUUCAAUAAUUAAUUGUAAAAUUGCCUUUAAAAACACUCAGAAAAUGUAUUAUUAAUUAAUAAAAUAUGCCUAUUAUAUAUUUUCAUUCAUAUAAUAAAGCAAGCACAUUAAUUACAUUUAUUUGUAUUUCAAUUAUUUUUUUUGUCUUUAAUGGAAAAAAAAGUGCCCUAAAAAUGGUGAAAAUGCCCCAAAAGUGUUUAGUCUUCCAUGACUUGCUAAAUGUCUAGGAAAAACACUAUGUAGUAGUUUAGGAUUCAGAUUUAAACUUAAUAUAAUCAGUGAAACCCCUAUAAACCGGACACUCGUGGACCAAGUAAAAAUUCACAGGACCAAGUAAAAAAUCUGGUUUUAAAAUGCAAUAUGUGAUUUAGAAAGAUUCUAUUCUGGACUAUUCAAAAAGAGACCAUAUAACAUCGGUUUUGAGGAAAUUCCAGUUUACUGAGAGUCCGGUUUUGAGGGAAUUCCAGUUUAGUAAUUACUGAGGGUCCGGUUUUGAGGAAAUUCCAAUUUAUUGAGGGUUCCGUUUUGAGGAAAUUCCAGUUUACUAAGGGUCUGGUUUUGAGGAAAUUCCAGUUUAUUGAGGUCUGGUUUUGAGGAAAUUCCAGUUUAUUGAGGUCCCGUUUUGAGGAAAUUCUAGUUUAUUGAGGCAGUUUUGAGGAAAUUCUAGUUUAUUGAGGUCCCGUUUUGAAGAAAUUCCAAUUUAUUGAGGCGGUUUUGAGGAAAUUCUAGUUUAUUGAGGUCCCAUUUUGAGGGGUUUCACUAAUAUAACUAAGGUGGUCGUUUUUACCAAAAUACCGAAUAUAGAGUUUAAUUUAUCAAACAUGUUUCAAAUAAUGUUCAUUUGGGAAUUCAUAGAAGGAUGUGUGAUUUGUUUGUAUGCAUUUCACCAAUGUCAAGAUCGCAAUAUAUUUUUGUUCUGUAUAUUUGAAGUGACAUAUGUUAGUGCUUGCUGUAUUGAAAUAAGUGAUGCAGGUUGCAUAAUGUUCUAAGAUGGACAUAUACUCAAUAAUAAUGAUGCAAAAUUGGUAUUUUAAUUGAAGAACCAAAUUUUUUUCAACAGGUAUUUAUUUCUUUGUCACUUGUAACGUUUCUUAAAUAGCCGUGUAUGUUUACUACUUGAACGCAUCUAUGAUGAUCACUUUACGUUUAUUGGGCCAAGACUGUUUAGAUUUAAGUAUUAUCCAUAUGAAUAUGCUGUUAUGAGAGUGGUACAUGUACAUUUUAUAUACAGUAUGGUCUCAUUUUAGUAUGUGAAACUGGUUAAUAAUUAUUAGUAACUAAUAAACAGUUUUGCAACUGGAUUCUAAAAAGUAGAAUAUGAUCUCAUGGCAAUGUCCAUAUUAUUUAUAAUGUUACGUUACAUUUUGUUUUUAUUAUAUUAUUGUUGUUUCAUAUUAUUUCCAGGGUAUUACAUGUCUUGCUUUUUUAUAUAUAUAUAUUUUUUAUUAUAGUGCCAUAUUUUCAUUCUGUUUAAUUUCUUUUCAUACUUUCAGAAUUAGUAUGUCAAUGAAUCGGUCCAAGCUGAAUCUUUUUCCUUCUAUUUAUCAAGAUAUAUUAUCUUCAGACCAAAGUCAAGGUGUCCUAUUUAAUGGCCUUACAACAAAUUCCUCCAUGUGUACACAUAUUUUAAAAUAAAUAAUUAUAUGAAAAACAAUAGGGUACCCGCACUUACGCAGAUAUGUUCAAACAUAUCUAGUAGAUACAUACACCCACGCGUCCACAUGUGUAUACACACACACACACACACACACACACACACACACACACAGAUAUACAUGUAUAUACAUUAAUUCUAUGAUGAUAUAUAUAUAUAUUAACAAUUUGAUCUAUGUUAGGCAGGCUUACAUCCUCUAUUCGGUGUCAGAGGUAAAUACUCAAUCUCAAAUAAUACUCCCACCAACAUGUGCACACUUAUAACAAUCUUUGGGUGUGUUUUUUUUAUUGUAAUCUGACCUCUAAACUUUAUAGCCAGUCCCCCUUUUUUAACAAUGGACUGAUCUGUACAUCCCAGCAGCCAAUAAUUUUUCUUAUUACUCCAUCUACCUCAUGUAACAUUUUGUAAGGUUAAAACACACACACAAAAAAGACAAAAUUAAAAAAAAUUAAAUUUAAUUGCAUAACACACCACUCCUAUCACUGUCACCAUAACCAUAUUAACAUCAUUUGACCAGCAUUAUUGGGUUUUCUGUUGUGCUUGGGUUUUUUUGGCAAUACAUACUUCCUUUAAUUAAAAAAAAAAUUGUCUAAUAGAUAAAUUGGCCCCAAAUGGGCCCCAAAUUGGCUGUAUUUAGUUUGUGAAUGAAUAUGAGACACUGUUUUGAAAAUGUUAAAUAACUCGAGAUAAAAAAAAACAUUAAAAAAAACUUUCCCUCUCCCUAUAACAUGUUUCAUGAUCCUCCUCCAGAGGGUUACAUAACUGUUAAAUGAUCAGUUUUAGUCCACAUCUUAAAAAAAGGAAAUGGAAAACUGUGAACAUAGAAAAGAAUGAGAGACUAGUUAUAGUAAAUGGGUGAACCUUUGAUACUGAAGACUAUUAUUAAUUAUAAGAAACAGUAAUCAAAAUACAUAUACAUAUAUAUGAAGAGUUAAAUCGCAAAACGUGAUCCAAAAAAACAUCACUAUACACACCACUAUACACACCCAGUCCUGAAAAACGUUUUAUUCCAAACCACCAUAAAUACUACGCCAGUUUCUCUGCAAUCUGCGAUAUAUCCUUAGACAAUCAUAUCGAGUUUUACUGAAAACUGAAUUUGAACUUGUGUUUGUUUACGUGUGAACAGUGUCUGAGUGGUGUUCGCACACUGGUUUUUAAUAUGGCGUUUAUCUCGUUUUGCGAUGAAACUUUAUAUAUAUAUAUAUAUAUAUAUACAGUCAGACCUCGAUACAACGACCGUCGUUACUACGACAUUUACACCAUCUGACCACAAAUUGUCGGAAACAAACGUACAUCAGUGUUAUUUU